rnacentral:rRNA from 1 species
CCUACGGGGGGCAGCAGUGAGGAAUAUUGGUCAAUGGACGAGAGUCUGAACCAGCCAAGUAGCGUGAAGGAUGACUGCCCUAUGGGUUGUAAACUUCUUUUAUAUGGGAAUAAAAUGUUCCACGUGUGGGAUUUUGUAUGUACCAUAUGAAUAAGGAUCGGCUAACUCCGUGCCAGCAGCCGCGGUAAUACGGAGGAUGCGAGCGUUAUCCGGAUUUAUUGGGUUUAAAGGGAGCGUAGGUGGAUUGUUAAGUCAGUUGUGAAAGUUUGCGGCUCAACCGUAAAAUUGCAGUUGAAACUGGCAGUCUUGAGUACAGUAGAGGUGGGCGGAAUUCGUGGUGUAGCGGUGAAAUGCUUAGAUAUCACGAAGAACUCCGAUUGCGAAGGCAGUUCACUGGACUGCAACUGACACUGAGGCUCGAAAGUGUGGGUAUCAAACAGGAUUAGAUACCCGAGUAGUC